AUGAGCGCUACAUACCCAAUAAAACAGCCGUCAUCACUAUGGAUGGAAUCGCACGAUUCAUGGCUGCUCCACUACUCUACGGGGACGCGGUUUGCAUCGGCGACGGCCUUCGGCCUGCCGGCGCUGACCGCCGAGACCAUGGACUUGCUGAAAGUCGCAGAAGAGCGAUUCCAUCUGGCACAAGAUGCUAGUUUGAUGGUGGAGUUGGCGAUGUGCACAGCGAUCUAUGGCUACUCGUCGGGAACUGGACCACAGGAGAAGGAUGAGAAAUCCUAUCUCUUUGGCGAUUUUGCAAAUCAGCCUCUGAAUUAUUUGAUAAUCCUGAACAAGUCCCUGUAUUUUUAA
rnacentral:rRNA from 1 species